AUCCAGCUGACAAGUCCCAAAUAGGACGAGACGCGCCUCUUGAAU
rfam:Schistosoma haematobium scaffold416_40, whole genome shotgun sequence.